UACGGAGGGUGCGAGCGUUGUCCGGAAUCACUGGGCGUAAAGGGCGCGUAGGCGGCGCGGUAAGCACGCGGUGAAAGCCCGGGGCUCAACCCCGGGUCGGCCGUGCGGACUGCCGCGCUGGAGCACUGUAGAGGCGGGCGGAAUUCCGGGUGUAGCGGUGGAAUGCGUAGAGAUCCGGAAGAACACCGGUGGCGAAGGCGGCCCGCUGGGCAGUGGCUGACGCCGAGGCGCGACAGCGUGGGGAGCAAGCAGG
rnacentral:rRNA from 1 species